AUUGAACACUGGCGGCAGGUGAAACACAUGCACGUCGGACGAGUGGCGGACUGGGGAGUAAUGUUUGGGGAACUGCGUGAUGGAGGGGGAUCACAAGUGGAAACGGUCGCUGAUACAGCAUACUAUCGGAUUUGCCUAGAUGGGUUUAGCUAGUAGGUGGGGUAAAGGCUCACCUAGGCGACGAUACCUAGCUGGUCUGAGAGGAUGACCAGCCACACUGGAACUGAGACACGGUCAAGACUCCGACGGGCGGCAGCAGUGGGGAAUAUUGCACAAUGGGCGCAAGCCUGAUGCAGCCAUGCCGCGUGUAUGAAGAAUGCCUUCGGGUUGUAAAGUACUUUCAGCGGGGAGGCGUUACCCGCAGAAGAAGCACCGGCGAACUCCGUGCCAGCAGCCGCGGUAAUAC
rnacentral:rRNA from 1 species